AUGCAUAUGUGCAUAGCAAAGCAAUGGCCCAGUUACAUCAACAACAUACGUGUAUCAAGAAAUUCACUAGAAUUUAAUAAUUCAGAUAAUAUUAGAAAUUUCAGUCCAUACAGUAAAGCCUUAAAAAAGGAAAAAACGAGUUUCAAUUGGAACAUUCAGUUCAAUCUCAAUACAUUCAGACCAGGGCGGGUGAACACAAAUAAGAAAAGAUCAGAUCAUUUGAAAAUAGGACUAACGAUUAACGAAGUUUCUAACCACUUAACUAACUAA